rnacentral:lncRNA from 1 species
GGUCCAAAUAUACUAAAUGUCCAUUAUGUCCAUGUAAAUGUUCGUAACGUCCAUUGUGCAUAUCUUCGUCCAUACACUUCAUUGUAGUUGGCCUCUGUGCUGCUGUCCAUCUCCAUUGGCCUCGUCUCGGCUAUCGCCAUCCAUCGUCUCCGGUUGUCCUUGCCAUCCCAACGGGACAAGUUACUUCCCAUCGCUCUGCUUACAUCUUUGGUCUUUGUGUUUGUUGCAUCAGAUAGUUUCUUCUUCUCUUCUAUCUCUCCUUUCUUUCUCUCUAUGUAUCUGACUUCCAAAACAAUAGUUUUUGAAGGAAUUAAACGAGG